rnacentral:rRNA from 1 species
UACAGAGGUCUCAAGCGUUGUUCGGAAUUACUGGGCGUAAAGCGUGCGCAGGCGGUUUUGUAAGCCAGAUGUGAAAUCCCCGGGCUUAACCUGGGAAUGGCAUUUGGGACUGCAAGGCUGGAGUUUGGCAGAGGAGACUGGAAUUCCUGGUGUAGCAGUGAAAUGCGUAGAUAUCAGGAGGAACACCGAUGGCGAAGGCAGGUCUCUGGGCUGGAAACUGACGCUCAUGCACGAAAGCGUGGGGAGCAAACAGG